rnacentral:rRNA from 1 species
AGAGUUUGAUCCUGGCUCAGGAUGAACGCUGGCGGCGUGCCUAACACAUGCAAGUCGAGCGAUCUUCUUCGGAAGAGAGCGGCGGACGGGUGAGUAACGCGUGGGUAACCUGCCCUGUACACACGGAUAACAUACCGAAAGGUAUGCUAAUACGGGAUAACAUAAGAAAUUCGCAUGUUUUUCUUAUCAAAGCUCCGGCGGUACAGGAUGGACCCGCGUCUGAUUAGCUAGUUGGUGAGGUAACGGCUCACCAAGGCGACGAUCAGUAGCCGACCUGAGAGGGUGAUCGGCCACAUUGGAACUGAGACACGGUCCAAACUCCUACGGGAGGCAGCAGUGGGGAAUAUUGCACAAUGGGCGAAAGCCUGAUGCAGCAACGCCGCGUGAGCGAUGAAGGCCUUCGGGUCGUAAAGCUCUGUCCUCAAGGAAGAUAAUGACGGUACUUGAGGAGGAAGCCCCGGCUAACUACGUGCCAGCAGCCGCGGUAAUACGUAGGGGGCUAGCGUUAUCCGGAUUUACUGGGCGUAAAGGGUGCGUAGGCGGUCUUUUAAGUCAGGAGUGAAAGGCUACGGCUCAACCGUAGUAAGCUCUUGAAACUGGAGGACUUGAGUGCAGGAGAGGAGAGUGGAAUUCCUAGUGUAGCGGUGAAAUGCGUAGAUAUUAGGAGGAACACCAGUAGCGAAGGCGGCUCUCUGGACUGUAACUGACGCUGAGGCACGAAAGCGUGGGGAGCAAACAGGAUUAGAUACCCUGGUAGUCCACGCCGUAAACG